CCCGCUGAGUUUAAGCAUACCAAUGGGCGGAGGAAAAGAAACUUACCAGGAUUCCCCUGGUAACGGCGAGCGAACCGGGAAAAGCCCAGCUUGAGAAUUGGUCACCAUCGGCGUCUGAAUUGUAGUCUGAAGAAGCGUCCUCAGCGACAGACCGGGCCUAAGUCCCCUAGAAAGGGGCGCCGGAGAGGGUGAGAGCCCCGUCGUGCCCGGACCCUGUCGCACCAAGAGGCGCUGUCUACGAGUCAGGUUGUUUGGGAAUGCAGCCGUAAUCGGGCGAUAAAUUCCGUCCAAGGCUAAAUACGGGCGAGAGAUCGAUAGCGAACAAGUACCACGAGGGAAAUAUGAAAAAGACUUUGAAAAGAGAGUCAAAGAGUGCUUGAAAUUGUCAGGAGGGAAGCGGAUGGGGGCCGGCGAUGCGCCUCGGUCAGAUGUGGAACGGCGAGAGCCGGUCUGCCGAUCGGCUCGGGGCGUGGACCAACGCGGGUCGUGGCGGCGGCCCAAUCCCGGUCCUUUGAUACGCCCGUGGAGACGUCGUCACCUCGAUCGUGGGAUUCAGCACGCGCCGCCUCAGUGUGCUUCGGCACCUGCGUGCUCUGGGCGUCAGCCUGCGGGCUCUCCAUUCGGCCCGUCUUGAAACACGG
rnacentral:ncRNA from 1 species